ACGACUUAGACUUUAGAUCAAGUACUCUCCCCACAAGUUCAGGUUUAGAGCAAAUCUUAAUUAAUAACAGUCAUGCCUAAACUUAAGAGAGAUUUCAAUUUUGAGAAUUAGUCAUGGCAGAGCAACUAUUCAUCAUUUCCAUGUGAGAGCUUAUCAUGAGGGUUCAUAGCAAACUUUAUUUAUUUAUUUAUUUAGCAAACUAAGCAAAGAUAUAUAAACACAAAAUCUUUAUUUGGGUUUUUAUGAUUAUGCAUCUUUUUAUUAUUUGAGUAAAGUGUAAACAUGAGUAGAAACACUUAGCUGGAUAAAUGGGGGUGCUCUCCCCCAAGCUGGAUCUUGACAUAAUUUCUUCUGAUGUAGCUAGCAGGUGGCGGAGGUGUAUUUGAAUGUCGGCAGCACCCUCGCAGCGAUUAGGAUGUCCUUUGUCUGCUAGUCUUCUUUGGUCCUUGAAUUCUGUGGAGCUCAAAUAGAUAACAAAGCUUUGUGGAACUGGUUAAGUGUUAGCAUAAAUAUCUAGCCUUUAUCAUGUUGAGCCUCCUCAGUAAAUGUUACACUCUUUGGUAUGAUCAUAAAUUUAUUUUUAUAUUUUCAUUUUUAUAGGAUAGGAAUAUAUUUAUUUUAUUUUUACGCCACAACAGUGAAUGUACUUAUGGGUUUUAUGCCAUGAGCAUACUCACAUGGGGCUUACUAUUUCUAACAUUUUUAUUUUCUUUUCAAGAUGAUAUAAACCUGAUUAACUAAGCAAAGUAUUUUAAAUAAUUGAAAGG
rnacentral:lncRNA from 1 species